ensembl:lncRNA
GCUGGUCAAAACGCUUUUAAUAAGUUAAUGUCAGAAUAAGAAUCUUUCCUAAGUUUUGAGUCUAUAUAGUUUAUUUUAGAGUACAAAAGAAUAGGACGUAUUUUUGAAAACAUAAGAUAGGUUAGAUUUCCCAGCAUUCCGAAACAAAAAUUUAAGAUAUGAAAUAGCAACUUUCUUGUCCUAUUUUUGGCUCUAACACUGAUUUGUUUUUUGAAUUACCUAAUUAUAUCAACACACUUCCUAGCUGUACAUUAAAUUCUGUCAGGCAUCUUAAAUGUUCAGUGAGCUGGGCAUGGUGGUGCGUGUCUAUAAUCCUAGCACCUGGGAGGCUGAGGCAGGAGGAUCUCUUGAGUUUGAGGUCAGCCUGGGCUACACACUGAGUUCAAGACCAGCCUGAAUUCAAUAGGGAGGCCCUGUCCCCCUCGCCCAAAAAAGUAUAUUGAAGUAGUUUAUGCAUACAUUGAAGAGGCUCUGUGACCAGAGAGAAAACCUAAAUUAUUGUGAAUGAGUAAAAGAGAAAAAAGAAUUCUUACAAAGGCCACCUUCUGUUUAAUGAUGCUAAUGAGAAACACUUUGUUAAUUAGUCUCUCUAUAAAAAGUACAGGUAUUUCACCUCUGCCUUUAUUUCCUUAGCCAAAGAUUCACCAUAUCCUCAAUUAAGGUCCUGUUUCUAUUAUGUCUCUAUAAUGAAGGGAAGAACCUCUCAGAUGUAGAGUAGAAAAUAUAGCAGCUAAAAAUUCAAGGAAUCCCAGAAUCACGAGCUCUAAAAUUACGGAAGGAAAAGUUUCUAACAAAGUGAGAUCCCAAAGUCUGGGAGAACUAAAUAUUUCUGAGCAACAAGGUUCUUGAGAUGACUGAGUGGGUAACAACACACCCUGUCCCAUGCCAGACCCUGUACUUCAAGUGCUUUCUGCCCUCUGAGAGUCAUAGAACUUCAGAAGUCAAUUCUCUUCUAGAGUGCCCAGGCUUCCUAAAGUGAGUUCUUCAUGAAAUAUCUGAUCAGUUGUUUUAAAAUCUGCUUAUUACCAUUACAUGAUGAAAAACAUGCUUUGUUGGUCACCAAUAAAAAGCGUUUAUAAUACUUAUGAAAUAUCUAAAAUUAUGGUAUUCAAAUAUUACAUUCCUUUAUCCCUUUAAACAAUUGUCUGCACUCUUCUGGUUUUUUAGUUCCGUCUGAUAGUGCCUUUUAUGAGGUACAGAUAUUUCCUGUUUCACAGAAUAAAUUAGGCGUUACCUGGUGAGACAGAACACACACGCUAACUCCAGCCUCUUCUUAAGAAGCUGUUGUGGCCUCACCUUAUGGCCUGGUCUAACCCCAGUUACCUUCCACAGGCUCUGCCCUCCCAGUAAUGGUAACAGAUGAGUUAGGGGCUGAAUUUUUCAACACAUGAACUGUUAUUUAUUUAUUUUUUGGUGCCGGGGAUCGAACUCGGGUCCUUGCGCUUGCGCAGCAGGUGGCGAAACCACCGAGCUAAAUCCCCGGCCCAACACAUGAACUUUUGAGGGCUAUUUUUAAGCCAGAACACACGAAAAUGCUGGAUUCUUCUAUUCUUCAAAAAUUAAUAAAGUUGUCUUAGUUGGCAUUUUAUCAGGACUCUACCUGGUUUUGUGUUUACUAAAUAUACAGAACACAAAAAAUAAAGGAAAAUAAAAUUUCUUAUAAUUUGUGAUAUCUUCAUUUCCAAAAAUUUUGAUUAGAG